rnacentral:rRNA from 1 species
UACGAAGGGUGCAAGCGUUAGUCGGAAUUACUGGGCGUAAAGCGUGCGUAGGCGGUCUCUUAAGUCCGUUGUGAAAGCCCUGGGCUCAACCUGGGAACUGCAGUGGAUACUGAGAAGCUAGAGUGCGUCAGAGGAUGGUGGAAUUCCCGGUGUAGCGGUGAAAUGCGUAGAGAUCGGGGAGGAACAUCAGUGGUGAAGGCGGCCAUCUGGGACAACACUGACGCUGAGGCACGAAAGCGUGGGGAGCAAACAGG